UAACAGGAUUCCCCUAGUAACUGCGAGUGAAGCGGGAAAAGCUCAAAUUUAAAAUCUGGCGGUUUUGUCGCCCGAGUUGUAAUCUGGAGAAGCGUUUUCCGUGCCGGACCGUGUACAAGUUUCUUGGAACAGAGCGUCAUAGAGGGUGAGAAUCCCGUCCAUGACACGGACUCCCGGUGCUUUGUGAUACGCUCUCGAAGAGUCGAGUUGUUUGGGAAUGCAGCUCAAAAUGGGUGGUAAGCUCCAUCUAAAGCUAAAUAUUGGCGAGAGACCGAUAGCGAACAAGUACCGUGAGGGAAAGAUGAAAAGCACUUUGGAAAGAGAGUUAAACAGUACGUGAAAUUGUUGAAAGGGAAACGCUUGAAGUCAGUCGCGUCUUACUUGACUCAGCCUUGCCUCGGCUUGGUGUAUUUCAAGUGAGGACGGGUCAACAUCGAUUUUGACCGGCAGACAAGGGGGGAGAGGAAUGUGGCACUCUUCGGAGUGUGUUAUAGCCUUACUCUCAUAUACAUCGGUUGGGAUCGAGGCCCGCAGCGCGCCCUUGUGGCCGGAGGUUCGCCUCACGUAACGCGCUUAGGAUGUUGGCAUAAUGGCUUUAAGCGACCCGUCUUGAAACACGGACCAAGGAGUCUAACAUGCUCGCGAGUGUUAGGGUGGAAAACCCUUGCGCAGUAAUGAAAGUAAAAGUUGAGAACCUCCGCAAGGGGGCGCACCGACGCCCGGCCCAGAAGUUUACGGACGGUGCUGCGGUAGAGCGCGUAUGUUGGGACCCGAAAGAUGGUGAACUAUGCCUGAAUAGGGCGAAGCCAGAGGAAACCCUGUGUGGAGGCUCGUAGCGAUUCUGACGUGCAAAUCGAUCGUCAAAUUUGGG
rnacentral:rRNA from 1 species